rnacentral:rRNA from 1 species
GGGAAUCUACCUAGUUCUACGGAACAACAGUUGGAAACGACUGCUAAUACCGUAUACGCCCUACGGGGGAAAGAUUUAUCGGAAUUAGAUGAGCCCGCGUAAGAUUAGCUAGUUGGUGGGGUAAUGGCCUACCAAGGCGACGAUCUUUAGCUGGUCUGAGAGGAUGAUCAGCCACACUGGGACUGAGACACGGCCCAGACUCCUACGGGAGGCAGCAGUGGGGAAUAUUGGACAAUGGGCGCAAGCCUGAUCCAGCCAUGCCGCGUGAGUGAUGAAGGCCUUAGGGUUGUAAAGCUCUUUCACCGAUGAAGAUAAUGACGGUAGUCGGAGAAGAAGCCCCGGCUAACUUCGUGCCAGCAGCCGCGGUAAUACGAAGGGGGCUAGCGUUGUUCGGAUUUACUGGGCGUAAAGCGCACGUAGGCGGUUUGUUAAGUCAGGGGUGAAAUCCCGGAGCUCAACUCCGGAACUGCCUUUGAUACUGGCAAGCUAGAGUCCGGAAGAGGUAAGUGGAACUCCUAGU